GACGAACGCUGGCGGCGUGCUUAACACAUGCAAGUCGAACGGAAAGGCCCUGCUUUUGUGGGGUGCUCGAGUGGCGAAAGGGUGAGUAACACGUGAGUAACCUGCCCUUGACUUUGGGAUAACUUCAGGAAACUGGGGCUAAUACCGGAUAGGAGCUCCUGCUGCAUGGUGGGGGUUGGAAAGUUUCGGCGGUUGGGGAUGGACUCGCGGCUUAUCAGCUUGUUGGUGGGGUAGUGGCUUACCAAGGCUUUGACGGGUAGCCGGCCUGAGAGGGUGACCGGCCACAUUGGGACUGAGAUACGGCCCAGACUCCUACGGGAGGCAGCAGUGGGGAAUAUUGCACAAUGGGCGGAAGCCGUAUGCAGCAACGCCGCGUGCGGGAUGACGGCUUUCGGGUUGUAAACCGCUUUCGCCUGUGACGAAGCGUGAGUGACGGUAAUGGGUAAAGAAGCACCGGCUAACUACGUG
rnacentral:rRNA from 1 species